rnacentral:piRNA from 6 species
GUGGUCUAGUGGUUAGGAUUCGGCG